AGAGUUUGAUCAUGGCUCAGGAUGAACGCUGGCGGCGUGCCUAAUACAUGCAAGUCGAGCGAACAGAUGAGGAGCUUGCUCCUCUGACGUUAGCGGCGGACGGGUGAGUAACACGUGGAUAACCUACCUAUAAGACUGGGAUAACUUCGGGAAACCGGAGCUAAUACCGGAUAUUAUAUCGAACCGCAUGGUUCAAUAGUGAAAGACGGUUUUGCUGUCACUUAUAGAUGGAUCCGCGCCGCAUUAGCUAGUUGGUAAGGUAAUGGCUCACCAAGGCGUCGACGGGUAGCCGGCCUGAGAGGGUGACCGGCCACACUGGGACUGAGACACGGCCCAGACUCCUACGGGAGGCAGCAGUGGGGAAUAUUGCACAAUGGGCGGAAGCCUGAUGCAGCAACGCCGCGUGAGGGAUGACGGCCUUCGGGUUGUAAACCUCUUUUAGCAGGGAAGAAGCGAGAGUGACGGUACCUGCAGAAAAAGCACCGGCUAACUACGUGCCAGCAGCCGCGGUAAUACGUAGGGUGCAAGCGUUAUCCGGAAUUAUUGGGCGUAAAGAGCUCGUAGGCGGUCUGUCGCGUCUGCUGUGAAAUCCCGAGGCUCAACCUCGGGCUUGCAGUGGGUACGGGCAGACUAGAGUGCGGUAGGGGAGAUUGGAAUUCCUGGUGUAGCGGUGGAAUGCGCAGAUAUCAGGAGGAACACCGAUGGCGAAGGCAGAUCUCUGGGCCGUAACUGACGCUGAGGAGCGAAAGGGUGGGGAGCAAACAGGCUUAGAUACCCUGGUAGUCCACCCCGUAAACGUUG
rnacentral:rRNA from 1 species